CGGAUUGUAGUCUGNAACCCGACUACAUGAAGCUGGAAUCGCUAGUAAUCGCGAAUCAGAAUGUCGCGGUGAAUACGUUCCCGGGUCUUGUACACACCGCCCGUCACACCAUGGGAGUCGGAAAUGCCCGAAGUCAGUGACCUAACCGAAAGGGAGGAGCUGCCGAAGGUGGAGCCGGUAACUGGGGUGAAGUCGUAACAAGGUAGC
rnacentral:rRNA from 1 species